ensembl:snRNA U6 U6 spliceosomal RNA
GUAUUUAGUACCAAUACUAAAGUUGGAAUGAUGCAGAGAAUAUUGGCAUGGCCCCUGCACAAGGAUAACACGCAAAACAAACCAUAAAUGCCAACUAGAA